rnacentral:rRNA from 1 species
UACAGAGGGGGCAAGCGUUGUCCGGAAUUACUGGGCGUACAGCGCGCGCAGGCGGUUGCCGACGUGCCGUGUGACAAGCGGGGGCUCAACCCCCGAGGGCCACGGUAAACGGGGCGACUGGAGGAAGGGAGAGGGAUGUGGAAUUCCCGGUGUAGCGGUGAAAUGCGCAGAUAUCGGGAAGAACACCCGUGGCGAAGGCGGUUCUCUGGGACGGUACUGACGCUGAGACGGCGAAAGCGUGGGGAGCGAACAGG